GACGUAGGGGGCCAGCGUUGUUCGGAAUUACUGGGUGUAAAGGGUUCGUAGGCGGUGCGGCAAGUCGGGAGUGAAAUCUCUGGGCUUAACCCAGAGGCUGCUUCCGAAACUGCUGUGCUUGAGUGUGGGAGAGGCGCGUGGAAUUGCAGGUGUAGCGGUGAAAUGCGUAGAUAUCGGGAGGAACACCAGUAGCGAAGGCGGCACUCUGGGCCGGUACUGACGCUGAGGAGCGAAAGCGUGGGGAGCAAACAGG
rnacentral:rRNA from 1 species